AUUGAACGCUGGCGGCAGGCCUAACACAUGCAAGUCGAACGAGUGGCGGACGGGUGAGUAAUGUCUGGGAAACUGCCUGAUGGAGGGGGAUAACUACUGGAAACGGUAGCUAAUACCGCAUACCAUCAGAUGUGCCCAGAUGGGAUUAGCUUGUUGGUGGGGUAACUGCUCACCAAGGCGACGAUCCCUAGCUGGUCUGAGAGGAUGAACAGACACACUGUAACAGAUACACGGUCCAGACUCCUACGUGUGGCAGCAGUGGGGAAUAUUGCACAAUGGGCGCAAGCCUGAGGCAGCCCUGCCCGAUGUAUGCAGAGGUCCUUCGGGUUGUAAGGGACUUUCAGCGGGGAGGCGUUACCCGCAGAAGAAGCACCGGCUAACUCCGUGCCAGCAGCCGCGGUAAUAC
rnacentral:rRNA from 1 species